rnacentral:rRNA from 1 species
UACGGAGGGUGCAAGCGUUAUCCGGAUUCACUGGGUUUAAAGGGUGCGUAGGCGGGCGGAUAAGUCAGUGGUGAAAUCUUCGAGCUUAACUCGGAAACUGCCGUUGAUACUAUUUGUCUUGAAUAUCGUGGAGGUGAGCGGAAUAUGUCAUGUAGCGGUGAAAUGCUUAGAUAUGACAUAGAACACCAAUUGCGAAGGCAGCUCGCUACACGAAUAUUGACUCUGAGGCACGAAAGCGUGGGGAUCAAACAGG